AUGCACGCUGGCGGCGUGCUUCACACAUGCAAGUCGAACGGUGAAGCAGAGCUUGCUCUGUGGAUCAGUGGCGAACGGGUGAGUAACACGUGAGCAACCUGCCCCCGACUCUGGGAUAAGCGCUGGAAACGGCGUCUAAUACUGGAUAUGAGCUGCGACCGCAUGGUCAGCAGUUGGAAAGAUUUUUCGGUCUGGGAUGGGCUCACGGCCUAUCAGCUUGUUGGUGAGGUAAUGGCUCACCAAGGCGUCGACGGGUAGCCGGCCUGAGAGGGUGACCGGCCACACUGGGACUGAGACACGGCCCAGACUCCUACGGGAGGCAGCAGUGGGGAAUAUUGCACAAUGGGCGAAAGCCUGAUGCAGCAACGCCGCGUGAGGGAUGACGGCCUUCGGGUUGUAAACCUCUUUUAGCAGGGAAGAAGCGAAAGUGACGGUACCUGCAGAAAAAGCGCCGGCUAACUACGUG
rnacentral:rRNA from 1 species